rnacentral:lncRNA from 1 species
AGUCCCUGUCCCACACGGGGCUCACGGUCUCCAUCCCCAUUUUACAGAUGAGGUCACUGAGGCCCAGAGAAGUGAAGUGACUCGGCCAAGGUCACACAGCAGACAAGUGGCGGAGCGGGGAUCAGGACCCACGACCUCCUAACUCCCAGGCCGGUGCUUCGUCCACUACGCCAUGCUGCUUCUCAGACAGCAUCUUCCCCAGGCCCAUCAUAGAAUCUUAAAUUCAGGAGGAAGUUCAAGAAGUCAUCUGAUCCAACCUCCUGCCACCAGAACAGGUGCGUGACUAAGCCAUCCAGAUUAAACGAUGCUCCGCUCCCCUUCGGAAGAUGACCCACUCUGGCCUGUCCCACUGUUUUAUCACCCUGAGAGUGAAGAAGGAAUCUGCUUUCUGUCUUCCCCCCAUGACGGUUCACUCUGGAGAGUGGUUUCGGGGGCUGGGGAAAGAGAAGAGGUCACUGCAGCUGGUCUCCCCACUGAAACUUCAUUCUUGGGGAGGUUUAGAUCCCUUCGAGGUUUAUUCCCGACGUCCAGAGGGUGAGCAGACCCAACCGGCUUGGUUCCCGGCCGGUGUGAGCAAACGUGGCUUCCAUUUCGUCGCCGGAACUGCCAUUUUGUCGUUGGAGCUCCUUGACCGGACCAAGGACGACUGCCUCUGGGACAAAGCGGCGUGGCUCAGUGGAAAGAGCCCGGGCUUGGGAGUCAGAGGUCGUGAGUUCGAAUGCCAGCUCUGCCCCUUGUCAGCUGUGUGACUGUGGGCAAGUCACUUAACUUCUCUGUGCCUCAGUUAUGUCAUCUGUAAAAUGGGGAUUAACUGUGAGCCUCAUAUGGGACAACCUGAUGACCCUGUAUCUCCCCCAGCGCUUAGAACGGUGCUCUGCACAUAGUAAGCGCUUAACAAAUACCAACAUUAUUAUCACUUGAUACGUGCCCGCUCCUUCCGCCCCCUCCCUCCCACCCACCCCGUCUCCUCCACAGGAUCGGGUCUGAUCCUUCGCCCAGCUGAGCAGUUCAGGCAGCACUUCAGAAUUUGAGCAGUCGGCCCCAGAGCAACUGAGUGUGCUGUACUCUUCCAAGUGCUUAGUACAGAGCUCAGCACAGAGUUAGCACUCAAUACAUAGCCUUGAUAGACUGAUAAUAAUAACUAUGGUAUUUGCUAAGUGCUUACCACAUGCCAACCACUGUACUCAGAGCUGGGGGGUCUGCUGUGUGAUCUUAGGCAAGCCACUUCACUUCUCUGUGCCUCAGUUACCUCAUCUGUAAAAUGGGGAUUAAGACUGCGAGCCUCACAUGGGACAGCCUGAUUGCCUUGUAUCUACCCCAGUGCUUAGAACAGUGCUGGCACAUAGUAAGCGCUUAAUAAGUACCAUAGUUAUCAUUCUAGUAUAUGCAGAUUGGACACAACCCCCAUCCCACAUGAGACUCACAGUCUAGGUAGAAGAGGAACAGGUAUUAAAACCCCAGUUUACGGAUGAGGAAACUGAGGCACAGAGAAGUGCAUAGAGUUGCCCAAGAUCACACAGCCAGCAAGUGGCAGAGCUGGGGUUAGAACCCAAAUCCUCUGACUCCCAGGCCCGUGCUCUAUCCAUUAGGUCUCACUGCUUUCUGUGAUCUAGGCAACCCAAAUUCAAGGUUUCUUCCCUUUCCACUGCCUCAACACCUUCAUCCAGGGAUGAUCCAGAAACCUCUCAAAAGAUCAACACAUCAAUCAGCGGAAGGUAUUUACUGAACAUUUAUUAUGCAUAGAGGGCAGCGCUAAGCACUUGGAAGAGUACAAUAGAAGAAAUAGACAAUAGAAGAAUAGAAGAAAUAGAAAUAGAGGGCAGCCCUGCCCUCAAGGAUCUUACAAUCUAGUGGGAGAGACAAACAUUAAAAUAAAUUACAGGUAAUUUAGAGACAGUGUUUCCGGGAUAAGGGGUGAAUACUGAAGUGCUUAGGGGGUGCCAAGACAUCAUCAUUCAUUCUUUAAAUCAUAUUUAUCGAGUAAAGUACCGUACUGAGUGGUUGGGAGAGUACAAUAUAACGAUAAACAGACACAUUCCCUGCCCACAAUGAUUUUACAGUCUGGAGGAUGAGCUUACGUCAUCAUCAUCCCUGGAAUUUGUCGAGUGCUUUGUGUGUGCAGAGGACUGAACUAAGUACUCGGGAGAGUACAAUACAUUAGACUUGAUAGACACUUUCCAGAAUGAGCUUGCAGUCAGAGGGACAUAAGAGGUUGUAUCCUCCUGAACGCUUAGAGCAGUGCUUUUCACUCAGUAGGUGCGCAGUAAAUGUCACUGAUUGAUCGGGCCUUUUCCAGCUGGAGCCUGUGUUUUUAGACCUAAUAGGGUCAUUGCCGUUUUUCAGAGGGGAUUGAUUCCCCACACUCGGAAGGGGGCAGGGAAGGGAAAGUGUCGAGCUGGAGAAAGCCCCCAUCCUCCCAGCCAAGCCUUCCGGGAGGGAAAAUUACCACUUCUCAGGCAGCUGGUAAAGGACUCAGGACAAAGCCCUUGAACACAGCUCUCUGAAAGACCCUGGGUGUCGGUCUCCUGGAGGGUGAACCUAAAGACUAGAACCCAGGGCACGAAGCAGUUAGGAGAACCACUCGGAAAUUUGCAUCCUGCUUUUCAUAUUCGUGCAUCAUUUCCACAGAGCUCCAUAGUCUGCGUCAUCUCUUCUCAGGCAAUUUCGAAGUUCCAAUUUUACUAUUCUCUGCCCCGAAGGUUGUCGUUUCUUGAUUUUUUUUUUCCCUCUUCGUUAUUUCUUCUCGUCCACCUACUGGCCUUGGCUGAGAUUUCCUUAUUCCCGAAACUGUAGAGCAUAAAGAGGGGAGAUCGUCCAGUGCCGGGGAAGGGAUGAGAAGGGAUGGGAACCUUCACUAGGCCACCAGAAGGAGCUUGUAGAAGUAAUGAUAGUAUUUAUGAAGCGCUUACGACGUGUCAAGCGGUGUUUUAAGUGCUGGGGUAGAUAGAACCUAAUCAGGCUGGACCCAAUCCCUUUCCGACCUGGGGCUCCCGGCUUUAAUCCCCAUUUUACAGACGAGGUAACUGAGGCCCAGAGAAGUGAAACGACCUGCCCAGUGUCACCCAACAGACAAGUGAGAUUAGAACCCAGGACCUUCUGACUCCCAGGCCUGUGCUCUAUCCACUAGGCCAUGUUCUAAGCAGUAACUGUUGGAUGGAAGCAGUGUGGCUCAGUGGAAAGAGCCCGGGCUUAGGAGUCAGAGGUCAUGGGUUCGAAUCCCAGCUCUGCCACUUGUCAGCUGGGUGACUGUGGGGCAAGUCACUUAACUUAUCUGUGCCUCAGUUACCUCACAAUGAGGAUUAACUGGGAGCCUCACGUGGGACAACCUGAUGACCCUGUAUCUACCCGAGCGCUCGGAACAGUGCUCUGCACAUAGUAAGCGCUUAACAAAGACCAACGUCAUUAUUAUUAAUUAUGGGAUCUGGGAUGUGUGUGUGUCUGUGAGUGUGUGGGUACCUGGGUGCUGAGAUUGAAGGGGCUGGGGACACCAGAGGAAGGGGCAGGGUGUGGUGGACUAUGAGUGGGUCGGGUGUGGGAGUGGAUGGGUGUCUACGUCUGUGUCUACCUGUUCUCUGCAACUGUGAGGCUACACCAGAAGUGAAAGGUGUGUACCUGGGUGCUGAAACUGUGAAGGCUACACCCUCCAGACUGUAAAUUCAUCCCUCGAGACUGUAAACUCAUCAUGAGCAGGGAAUGUGUCUGUUUACUGUUGCAUCGUACUCUUCCAAGCUCUUAGUACAGUGCUCUGCACACAGUAAGCGCUCAAUAAAUAGAAUCGGAUGAAUGAAUGAAAGAGUGAAGGGGCUGGGGAUGCCAGAGGAAGAGGCAGUGUGUGUAUCUGUGGGUGUGUAUAUGUGUGUGUGUGUGUUGCUUUUCAGCCUGCAGGGCCGGACAGGGUCUCUCCUUGGAAUGAUUGUAAAUGUACCGGUUUUCAUGACAACAGAGUCUACUUUUAAACCGUUCCCUGCCCAGCUGUCGGGAAAGCCAGUCUCUCCGUAAACAUCGGAGUGACUCUCCGAAAAGAAAACAAACCG